AGUUUAUCUCCAUGACCUGGGCAUCGUGCACAGAGACGUGAAGAUGGAGAACAUCCUCCUGGAUGAGAGAGGACACCUCAAGCUCACCGACUUCGGCCUCUCCCGGCACCUGCAUUGGGGCGAGCGAGCCCACACCAUCUGUGGCACCCUGCAGUACAUGGCCCCAGAGGUGCUGAGCGGUGGCCCCUAC